rnacentral:rRNA from 1 species
UAAAAGUCUGAUCUGCCCCCUGACUUUAAGUUAAAUGGCCGCAGUAUUUUGACUGUGCAAAGGUAGCAUAAUAAUUAGUUUUUUAAUUGAAGGCUAGAAUGAAUGAUUGGACGAAAUAUAAGCUGUUUCAAUAAAAAUUAUUGAAUUUUAUUUUUUAGUUAAAAAGCUAAAAUAUUUUUGAAAGACGAGAAGACCCUAUAGAUCUUUAUAUUAUUUAUUCUAUUUUUUGUAAGGUAAUUGAUUGAAUUUGGUUUUUAAAUUAAUAUUUUAUUGGGGUGAUAGUGAAAUUUAUUUAACUUUCAUUAAAUGUUUUACAUUGAUUAGUGGAUUAGUGAUCCUUUUUUAUGGAUUAAAAAUUUAAGUUACCUUAGGGAUAACAGCGUAAUUAUUUUGGAGAGUUCUUAUCGAUAAAAUAGAUUGCGACCUCGAUGUUGGAUUAAGAUUAAUUUCAGAUGUAGCGGUUUGGUAUAUUAAGUCUGUUCGACUUUUAAUUUCUUACAUGA